rnacentral:lncRNA from 1 species
GGUCGGUAGUUUUUGAGCACCUCUUUAUCUAGACUUGGUUUCUUAAGUAAUGGUCUCACAACAGCUUGUUUGAACGACAGUGGUACACAUUGUUCUGAUAGCGACCUGUUGACUAUAUCUGUGAUUGACGGCAACAAAUGAUCCACACAAGGCUUAAGAAGUUUUGUUGGUAACGGAUCAAGUUCGCAAGACUUUGUUGGAGCAGUCAAG